UACAGAGGGGGCAAGCGUUGUUCGGAAUUACUGGGCGUAAAGGGCGCGUAGGCGGCCUGUUAAGUCGAACGUGAAAUCCCCGGGCUCAACCCGGGAACUGCGUCCGAUACUGGCAGGCUUGAAUCCGGGAGAGGGAUGCGGAAUUCCAGGUGUAGCGGUGAAAUGCGUAGAUAUCUGGAGGAACACCGGUGGCGAAGGCGGCAUCCUGGACCGGCAUUGACUCUGAGGCGCGAAAGCCAGGGGAGCAAACGGG
rnacentral:rRNA from 1 species